rnacentral:rRNA from 1 species
AUUGAACGCUGGCGGCAUGCUUUACACAUGCAAGUCGGACGGCAGCACAGAGACGCUUGCUUCUUGGGUGGCGAGUGGCGAACGGGUGAGUGAUAUAUCGGAACGUACCGAGUAAUGGGGGAUAACUAAUCGAUAGAUUACCUAAUACCGCAUAUUCUCUGAGGAGGAAAGCAGGGGACCUUCGGGCCUUGCGUUAUCCGAGCGGCCGAUAUCUGAUUAGCUAGUUGGUGGGGUAAAGGCCUACCAAGGCGGCGAUCAGUUGCGGGUCUGAGAGGAUGAUCCGCCACACUGGGACUGGGACACGGCACAGGCUCCUACGGGAGGCAGCAGUGGGGAAUUUUGGACAAUGGGCGCAAGCCUGAUCCAGCCGUGCCGCGUGUCUGAAGAAGGCCUUCGGGUUGGAAAGGGCUUUUGUCAGGGAAGAAAAGGCUGUUGCUAAUAUCGACAGUUGGUGACGGUACCUGAAGAAUAAGCACCGGCUAACUACGUG